rnacentral:lncRNA from 12 species
UCUAAAUAGCUCCAAUUUUCUGUUCUGUCCACUGCAUUCUUAUAUUGCAGCUGUCCCCAUAUGUCUUACCUGAAAAUUCCCUCUGAGAUUUCCCUGCGAGCCUAAGCCUACAAGCUCUUGUCUUUUCCCUCUUAACAACCUUUUUUGCAUCAUAAAUAUCUUCCUCUCGUGGUGAAAGACCUAAAGAAAGUGAGGGUGUCAAGGUCAAACCCUCAGCAGUAGGCUGCAUGAGGAGGCAGCCUGGAGAAACUCUUACAGUAGUUAACUUUUGUCCCAUAGCACAAGCAUUUGCUGACCGCCAAAUUUUGAAUGGUGGUGGGGGACGGUGGCUAGGGCAGCUGUUUUCACAUAUGGCAUAGAAAGCAUUGUGAUGGCACUAGCAGACCAGUUUGCCAUCUUUGACAUGCAGGCCCUCAGCUUCUGAUUAUCCAGAGAGUCAUGAAAAGCUAUUAGUUUAAAUUUAAUUUUGCACUGGAGAACACUGUUAAUGUAGGCAGGCUCAUCGAGGCAGCUCUCAAUUAAGCUGAAAUAUUCAAUGAGGGACAUGUUUGGCCUCUAGAAGUAAUUCAUACUCAGUAGUCCAGAAAGAAGAACCCCCAGUAGGAUCAAUGAAAGUAUCUUCCUACCAUAGAAAAACAAAAUGUAUUAUUGCUUCAAGCCAAACACCUACAGUUGAUGAUUGUAUCUCAUUAUGGUUCCUUCACCCUGGCUUCACUGCAGCCUUGCUCAGUGCAGAAGCCUGUAUACGACACAAAGAUGUGGAAACGGGAAAUACAAAUGUGGGAAUCAAAUCCUUCAGGGGCAGAGAGGCUAGCAUUGGGAGACAGAGAGCACAAAUUCCUCACAUGGGGCUUGAGACUGAUGGUGAGUGAGGCCAUUUCCAUUUUCACUGUUUGGUUCUUACAUACAUAUAUUUUAUUGACAAGGGUUAUAGUACCAGAACCCAUAAUAUCAUUAAUUUUGUGCAUAUAAGGUAUCUUGAAGUGUAUAUCUGGUGGCCUCUCACCUUUGCAAGCUAUUAUCCCAGGUCAGUGUCCCAGCACUUCAAAAGGCCAUAUCACUGCUUAUUGGACCACUGCUGCUAAUUAGUGGCCUGUACUGCUGCCACUGUGCUAGGACCAGCAUGUCCCAUUAUUAUGUGUCCAUAGCAUUGCCUGCUUGACUGUAAAGUGGGUUCCCUGAAGCUAUUCUAUGGGAUUCCAUGUCAGUGAAUCAAACACUUUGUAAGUCCUUUGAUAAUAAUGAUGUGAGCUAAGUAAGGCCAUGUGAGCCGCCAGCAGUUGCUGGCCGCCUCAGUAGAGGGUUUGCCUAAGAAUAAAACCAAUAUAGAGGAGAGGAAAACA